GAUGAACGCUGGCGGCGUGCCUAAUACAUGCAAGUAGAACGCUGAAGGAAGGAGCUUGCUCUUUCCGGAUGAGUUGCGAACGGGUGAGUAACGCGUAGGUAACCUGCCUGGUAGCGGGGGAUAACUAUUGGAAACGAUAGCUAAUACCGCAUAACAGUAGAUGUUGCAUGAUAUCUACUUAAAAGGUGCAAUUGCACCACUACCAGAUGGACCUGCGUUGUAUUAGCUAGUUGGUGAGGUAACGGCUCACCAAGGCGACGAUACAUAGCCGACCUGAGAGGGUGAUCGGCCACACUGGGACUGAGACACGGCCCAGACUCCUACGGGAGGCAGCAGUAGGGAAUCUUCGGCAAUGGACGGAAGUCUGACCGAGCAACGCCGCGUGAGUGAAGAAGGUUUUCGGAUCGUAAAGCUCUGUUGUAAGAGAAGAACGAGUGUGAGAGUGGAAAGUUCACACUGUGACGGUAUCUUACCAGAAAAGGACGGCUAACUACGU
rnacentral:rRNA from 1 species